AUCACCUAGGAAUCUUGUUAAAAUGCACGUUCUGGCUCAGUAGGUCUGAAGUGGGGCCCAAGAUUCUGCACUUCCCACAAGCUCCCAGGUGAUGCCAA
rnacentral:pre_miRNA from 1 species